rnacentral:rRNA from 1 species
AGAGUUUGAUCAUGGCUCACGAUUAACGCUGGCGGCGUGCCUAACACAUGCAAGUCGAGCGANUAAGUUGGAAGUGAAGAUUUCGGUUGGAACGGAAAAUGGAAAGCGGCAGACGGGUGAGUAACGCGUGAAUAAUCAACCCUGCACANAGGGAUANCCUNGGGAAACCGGGAUUAAUACCAUAUGAAGUAUAUUAAUCGAAUGAUAGAUAUAUUAAAGUUUUUAACGGUGCAGGACGAGUUCGCGUCCCAUUAGCUAGUUGGUAAGAUAAAAGCUUACCAAGGCGACGAUGGGUAGCCGGCCUGAGAGGGUGAACGGCCACACUGGAACUGAGACACGGUCCAGACUCCUACGGGAGGCAGCAGUGGGGAAUAUUGCACAAUGGAGGAAACUCUGAUGCAGCGACGCCGCGUGAGCGAAGAAGGCCUUCGGGUCGUAAAGCUCUGUCCUAAGAGAAGAAGAAGUGACGGUAUCUUAGGAGGAAGCCCCGGCUAACUACGUGCCAGCAGCCGCGGUAAUACGUAGGGGGCUAGCGUUGUCCGGAAUUACUGGGCGUAAAGGGUGAGUAGGUGGUCAUUAAAGUCAGAUGUAAAAGGCAAUGGCUUAACCAUUGUAAGCAUAUGAAACUUAAUGACUUGAGUGCAGGAGAGGUAAAUGGAUUCCUAGUGUAGCGGUGAAAUGCGUAGAUAUUAGGAAGAACACCAGUGGCGAAGGCGAUUUACUGGACUGUAACUGACACUGAGUCACGAAAGCGUGGGGAGCAAACAGGAUUAGAUACCCUGGUAGUCCACGCUGUAAACGAUGAGUGCUAGGUGUCGGCAAGAGAUUGUCGGUGCCCGCAGUUAACGCAUUAAGCACUCCGCCUGGGGAGUACGAUCGCAAGAUUGAAACUCAAAGGAAUUGACGGGGACCCGCACAAGCAGCGGAGCAUGUGGUUUAAUUCGAAGCAACGCGAAGAACCUUACCAAGGCUUGACAUCCUCUUGACAGGUGUAGAGAUACACCUUCUCUUCGGAGCAAGGGUGACAGGUGGUGCAUGGUUGUCGUCAGCUCGUGUCGUGAGAUGUUGGGUUAAGUCCCGCAACGAGCGCAACCCUUAUCGUUAGUUGCCAUCAUUAAGUUGGGAACUCUAACGAGACUGCCGGUGACAAACCGGAGGAAGGUGGGGAUGACGUCAAAUCAUCAUGCCCCUUAUGUCUUGGGCUACACACGUGCUACAAUGGUCGGUACGACGGGAAGCGAAGGAGUGAUCUGGAGCUAACCCCAAUAAGCCGAUCCCAGUUCGGAUUGCAGGCUGCAACUCGCCUGCAUGAAGUUGGAGUUGCUAGUAAUCGCGAAUCAGAACGUCGCGGUGAAUGCGUUCCCGGGUCUUGUACACACCGCCCGUCACACCAUGGGAGUUGGUAAUACCCGAAGCCGUCGAGCUAACAAUUGAGGCAGACGUCGAAGGUAGGACUAAUGACUGGGGUGAAGUCGUAACAAGGUAGCCGUA